UACGUAGGGUGCAAGCGUUGUUCGGAAUCACUGGGCGUAAAGGGAGCGUAGGCGGGAUCGUAAGUUAGGAGUUUAAUGCAUGGGCUUAACCCAUGACCUGCUCUUAAUACUGCGGUUCUUGAGUAUGGGAGAGGGCGAUGGAAUUCCAGGUGUAGCGGUGGAAUGCGUAGAUAUCUGGAAGAACACCAGUAGCGAAGGCGGUCGCCUGGCCCAAUACUGACGCUGAGGCUCGAAAGCUAGGGGAGCAAACAGGAUUAGAUACCCCCGUA
rnacentral:rRNA from 1 species